AAUUGGAGGAACACAUAGAAAAUCUUCAAGCAGGGAGACUCACAAAUCUUAUUUUGUGCUAUGCACCGUGUUAUGACAUUGAUUUUGAACAUGUAUAUGCAGUACUAGCUGGAUGGACUAAUAGAUACAGUAGGAGGAUUGUUCCUGUCAGAACACUUCUAAGUCUGAGAAAGGAAAAUCUAGCAGUAGUCAGAAUGGGGAUGAACGGUUGUUGCUGUCACCGAAGUCAUGCUGCUUUUCAUGCUACAUCGGGAUUGUGCUUGAUGGGAUCGAUUGUCAGGAAUGAUGAGGGCCUGGUGUUUCUGUCUAUAGGUCACGGCAUCGGAACCUGCAACAGCAUUGAUGAAGCCGAGGGUACCGCGCUUCUGGUCGAUCUGAAGGAACUAGCGAGCUGUUAAAUGGUGCACCGUGCAAUCAGUAUCGAGUUAGACUGUCGGUUGUUGGUGCAGGGUCUGAAACAAGAUACGACUAAUAGGUCCAUGAUGCUCUCUGUUUUUUCUGACACUAAAGAGGCC
rnacentral:lncRNA from 1 species